rnacentral:rRNA from 1 species
CGGCCGCGGUAUUUUGACCGUGCAAAGGUAGCAUAAUCACUUGUCUCUUAAAUGGGGACCUGUAUGAAUGGCUUCACAUUUUUUUACUGUCUCCCUUCUUCUCCCUCUAAACUUCUAUUUACGUGAAGAAGCGUAACUUCCAAAGAAAGACGAGAAGACCCUGUCGAGCUUUAACUAAAGCCGAAAGACUUAAUUAACCUCAAUAAAAGGAAAACACAUUUGGCCGAAGUUUUGGUUGGGGCAACCAUGGAGUAAAUCUAACCUCCAGUUUUUUAGAAAGAGAACUACUCAUCUAGAUUCACCACUCAGAGAACCAGAAACUCUGGCAAACGGAAAAAGUUACCGCAGGGAUAACAGCGUUAUCUUCUCCAAGAGCUCAUAUUGACGAGAAGGAUUGCGACCUCGAUGUUGGAUUGGGGUAACCCGAGGGUGCAGCAGCUCUCUGAGGUUGGACUGUUCGUCCAUUA